rnacentral:tRNA from 1 species
CUUUAUAUAGUUUAAACUAAAACAUUUUAUUUUCAUUAAAAAAAAGACUAAUAAAGUCUAUAAAUG